AGCGAACGCUGGCGGCAGGCCUAACACAUGCAAGUCGAACGAACUCUUCGGAGUUAGUGGCGGACGGGGGAGUAACACGUGGGAACGUGCCCUUAGGUUCGGAAUAACUCAGUGAAACUUGUGCUCAUACCGAAUGUGCCCUUCGGGGGAAAGAUUUAUCGCCUUUAGAGCGGCCCGCGUCUGAUUAGCUAGUUGGUGAGGUACAGGCUCACCAAGGCGACGAUCAGUAGCUGGUCUGAGAGGAUGAUCAGCCACACUGGGACUGAGACACGGCCCAAACUCCUACGGGAGGCAGCAGUGGGGAAUCUUGCGGAAUGGGCGAAAGCCUGACGCAGCCAUGCCGCGUGAAUGAUGAAGGUCUUAGGAUUGUAAAAUUCUUUCACCGGGGACGAUAAUGACGGUACCCGGAGAAGAAGCCCCGGCUAACUUCGUG
rnacentral:rRNA from 1 species